GACGAACGCUGGCGGCGUGCUUAACACAUGCAAGUCGAACGGUGACGAUCAAGCUUGCUUGGUCUGAUCAGUGGCGAACGGGUGAGUAACACGUGAGUAACCUGCCCCAGACUCUGGGAUAACCCCGGGAAACCGGAGCUAAUACCGGAUAUGACAUGCCCCUGCAUGGGGAGUGUGUGGAAAGUUUUUUCGGUCUGGGAUGGACUCGCGGCCUAUCAGCUUGUUGGUGAGGUAAUGGCUCACCAAGGCGACGACGGGUAGCCGGCCUGAGAGGGCGACCGGCCACACUGGGACCGAGACACGGCCCAGACUCCUACGGGAGGCAGCAGUGGGGAAUAUUGCACAAUGGGCGAAAGCCUGAUACAGCGACGCCGCGUGAGGGAUGACGGCCUUCGGGUUGUAAACCUCUUUCAGCAGGGAAGAAGCGCAAGUGACGGUACCUGCAGAAGAAGCACCGGCUAACUACGUGCCAGCCGCCGCGGUAACAC
rnacentral:rRNA from 1 species